rnacentral:rRNA from 1 species
AGAGUUUGAUCCUGGCUCAGGACGAACGCUGGCGGCGUGCCUAACACAUGCAAGUCGAGCGGAGACAGUGAGUAGCUUGCUACGAGCUGUUUUAGCGGCGGACGGGUGAGUAACGCGUGAGCAACCUUUCCCAGACAGGGGAAUAACACACCGAAAGGUGUACUAAUACCGCAUAAGACCACGGGAUCACAUGGUUCUGGGGUAAAAGAAUUAUCGGUUUGGGGUGGGCUCGCGUCCGAUUAGGUAGUUGGUGAGGUAACGGCCCACCAAGCCGACGAUCGGUAGCCGACCUGAGAGGGUGAUCGGCCACAUUGGGACUGAGACACGGCCCAAACUCCUACGGGAGGCAGCAGUGGGGAAUAUUGCACAAUGGGGGAAACCCUGAUGCAGCGACGCCGCGUGAGCGAAGAAGUAUUUCGGUAUGUAAAGCUCUAUCAGCAGGGAAGAAAAUGACGGUACCUGACUAAGAAGCCCCGGCUAACUACGUGCCAGCAGCCGCGGUAAUACGUAGGGGGCAAGCGUUGUCCGGAAUAAUUGGGCGUAAAGGGCGCGUAGGCGGCUCGGUAAGUCUGGAGUGAAAGUCCUGCUUUUAAGGUGGGAAUUGCUUUGGAUACUGUCGGGCUUGAGUGCAGGAGAGGUUAGUGGAAUUCCCAGUGUAGCGGUGAAAUGCGUAGAGAUUGGGAGGAACACCAGUGGCGAAGGCGACUAACUGGACUGUAACUGACGCUGAGGCGCGAAAGUGUGGGGAGCAAACAGGAUUAGAUACCCUGGUAGUCCACACUGUAAACGAUGAAUGCUAGGUGUAGGGGGUAUCGACCCCUUCUGUGCCGCAGUCAACACAAUAAGCAUUCCGCCUGGGGAGUACGGCCGCAAGGUUGAAACUCAAAGGAAUUGACGGGGGCCCGCAC